rnacentral:tRNA from 1 species
AGGUAGAUAGUUUAAUGGUAAAACCCUAGUCUCCAAAACUAGAAGAUGUGAGUUCGAGUCUUACUCUAUCUG